rnacentral:snoRNA from 1 species
GUUCCCUGUGAUGAUUUAAAAUCAAUAUCAUGCUAAUGUAUACCUGAUAAAGUUUUUUUUAUUUGAUUUGUAAGUGAUUUUCUGAGGGAACA